CUUGGUCAUUUAGAGGAAGUAAAAGUCGUAACAAGGUCUCCGUAGGUGAACCUGCGGAGGGAUCAUUAAUGAAUGGCUUUGGCCUUCAACCAUCAACCCGUGGAAGCAAGACGUGCUUUGGCGCUCCGACGCCACGUUUAUGCGGCAAAGUGUUUGUCUGAAUCGAAUUAAGAAUUAAAACUUUCAACAAAGGAUCUCUUGGCUCUCGCAUCGAUGAAGAACGCAGCGAAGCGCGAAAUGUAGUGUGAAUCGCAGAACAUUGUGAAUCAUCGAAUCUUUGAACGCACAUUGCGCCUCCCUUUACCGGGAGGCAUGCCUGUCUGAGCGUCAUUUAAACCAUAGCCCCGCCGAGGGUCUGUCUUGGGCGUCGCCGGCCGGCGUAGCCUCAAAGCCAUCGGUCUAAAGAGCGGACGAGAUCCAUCCGGACUGACCGUUCUGCGACCUUAAACCUCCGACUUGACCUCAGAUCAGGUAGGGCUACCGCCUGAACUUAAGCAUAUCAAUAAGGCGAGGAACAGAAACCAACAGGGAUUCCCCCAGUAGUGGCGAAUGAAGCGGGAAAAGCUCAAGUUUGAAAUCCGAGGUUUACCUCGGAGUUGUAAGCUGAAGAGGCGUCGACCGACGCGGUCCGGGCCCAAUUUCCUUGGAACAGGAGGUCACGGAGGGUGAGAACCCCGUCUGUGGCUCGGGUGCCGUCGUCCUUGUGUCGUGCCCUCGAAGAGUCGGGUUGUUUGGGAAUGCAGCUCAAAAUGGGUGGUAAAUUUCAUCUAAGGCUAAAUAUAGGCGAGAGACCGAUAGCAAACAAGUAGAGUGAUCGAAAGAUGAAAAGUACUUUGAAAAGAGAGUGAAACAGUACGUGAAAUUGUUGAAAGGGAAGCGUUUGGCAUCAGCCCAUGGCGCCCCUCGAUCACCCGGGCUUCUGCCCGGUGCACUUGAGGGGCGUUGGGCCAGCGUCGACUUUGCCCGCCGGAGAAAGGCUUUGGGAACGUGCCUCCUCUCGGAGGGUUAUAUCCCUUGGCGUCAUGCGGCGUGGCGGGGUCGAGGUCUGCGGUUUAUCCUAGGACGCUGGCGUAAUGGUUCCAAGCGACCCGUCUUGAAACACGGACC
rnacentral:rRNA from 1 species